UACAAGUCACGCUGAUGUUAUAUGUGGAGAUAGGCUGGAACUUAACUCUCCUAAAAUGAUACAAAAAUAAAAUAGAAUAGGUCACUUUACUCGUUUGAUUCAUUGUUCUAUAAUUUGUGUGAGAUAAUUUUCCUGCUGUUUAGCUUCUUGUGUAUGUCAGAUUAUGUUGUACUACUGAAAAUGAUCAUACUAACAUGAAUUUCACAACAAGAGUGGAGUGGUCUUGUAAUGAUUUGUUUGGUCUACUUCUUGGCCUAGAAGGUGAUGACAUGUACCUAGAUUUUGACAUCAUUGAAUUUAUUGCUUCAGUCACUAGUACCAUAAAAGAAUUUCCUGUCAUCUUGUUUUAUUACGAGAGUUAAGUUCCAGAUUAGAAUGUUCGUUGAAUAUUAGAUGUUAUAUUCAAAUUUAAUUUUAGUAACCAUUUAGCAUGAAUAUUUAAUAGGAAAUACAAAGUAGAGUAGAUGUUGUCAUUACUUUUAUAUCGGUGUCUGCAUGGAGGAAAUAAUCCUUACGAUAUUUCAAAUUUUAUCUUACAGUUGAUUAUUGAUAAAUUCAGGAGAUUUAGAAACAAUAGUUUUUGCAUUAAAGAAAAAAUUGUAGUUGCCUGUAUGUUAAAUUCUGUGAAAUAUUCACUGAUACUUAAUACACCCAACUGAAUUUUGCAUAGUAGGUCUGUAUUUUCUAAAGUCUUACUUAAUUUUGUAGUAUUGCUGCCAUUGAGCUGCUGGUAUGAUGCAAAACUUAUUACUGUUCAUUCACUAUAUGGAAUUUGAAAGGUUAAAUAUUCUUCCCAGGCAAAAUGGUACUAUAGCCUUUCCACUACACAGAAUCUGUGCAUUAGUCACAGCAUUUUAUAGUUUUAGUUGGACAGCAGCAGCAAAAUAUCCUUACUGUGAAAUUAAAUCAAGGAAUUCAUAAAAUGCUUGCAUCAGAACCUACAGUUUUUUUAAAUAUAAGACCUACAUGUAAUUCUUAAAAUUUCAAUACUUGUAAACCAGUCACAAGCAGUUUUAAUGUGAUAAUUUUUAUAAUCUCUUAAGUAUCGUAUUUAAUAUGAACAGUCCUGCAAUAAUUUAUGCUCAUAUAUAUUUUAUCUUAAAGUAUAGAUUGUCACGUAAUUUAAAGAACAAUUUUUUGUUCUGAUAUUAGCAGUUAGCUUGUUAGAUAUAUACAUGGGCAAAAUUUUCAAGGUUCGUACUAGGAAGCAUAUCAUUGAAGUUUAUUUUGGUGUAUAUCUGUUUCUUUAUAAGUAGAAAAAUUAUCAAAGAAUGCAGAUGCAUGAUUGUAAAGUGUUGGAUAUAUAUAUAUAUAUUGAUGUGAGUUUGUCAAAAAAAUAUAAUUGUGAUGAAAAGAAUGAAGUAUUUAAAUAACUUUUAUACUGAAAUUGAGACAUGUACUCCCUGAAAUAUUGUUUUCAUAGUAGCAAUGCUUUAAUCUGAUCCACUUGCAUGAAAUAUACACUAUUUUUAACUGCUUCAUAUUGCAUAGACAGUUCUUACUUGACAUAAGAAUUUUAUCACAUUAAUGGUAUUUUUUUAUAUAUUUAUAACAAAACUUUCAGUUAUAUUUUAGUUACAUAUUUAUUAUGUUUGCAUUGCAUGAUUGAUGAUUCAGAUGUGUUUGGGUCAGAAUAUGAGUCUCAAUUUCAUUGUAAUUAUUGCAUUGAACAGAUAUUAGAAGUUGUUCCUGAGUGUUAA